UCACGUGACGUGAACCAUGUGAUUACCACCGCGCUGGGUGGGCAGUGUAGUAGCCACUCCCGUAGUCACUUUGGAGCUUGCUGAGUGGCGGUGUCAUCGUGAUGAACCGGACGAGCCCCGACUCGGAGCGGCCUCCGGCAUCCGAGCCGGUGUGGGAACGGCCCUGGUCGGUGGAGGAGAUCCGCCGCAGCAGUCAGAACUGGUCUCUGGCGGCUGACGCCGGUCUACUACAGUUUCUACAGGAAUUCUCACAGCAGACUAUCUCCAGGACUCAUGAAAUCAAGAAGCAGGUGGAUGGAUUAAUUCAGGAGACCAAAGCCACACAUUGUCGUCUGCAUAAUGUGUUCAAUGACUUCCUCAUGCUGUCUAAUACCCAGUUCAUUGAGAAUCGGGUGUACGAUGAAGAAGUGGAGGAGCAGGUGCUCAAGGCAGAGGCCGAGAAAGCAGAGCAGGAGAAGACCCGGGAACAGAAAGAAAUAGAUCUGAUCCCUAAAGUGCAGGAGGCUGUGAACUACGGGUUACAGGUCCUGGAUAGCGCGUUUGAGCAACUUGACAUAAAAGCGGGGAAUUCGGACUCUGAAGAGGAUGAUGCCAAUGAGCGGGUGGACCUGAUCCUUGAACCAAAGGAUCUCUACAUUGACCGGCCUCUGCCCUAUCUCAUCGGGUCAAAGCUCUUCAUGGAACAGGAAGAUGUAGGGCUUGGAGAGCUGUCCAGUGAAGAAGGCUCUGUGGGCAGUGACCGUGGGAGCAUUGUGGACAGUGAAGACGAGAAAGAAGAGGAGGAGUCAGAUGAAGAUUUUGCCAGUCAUAGUGACAAUGACCAAAACCAGCAUACCACACAGAUAAGUGAUGAAGAAGAGGAUGAUGAUGGUGACCUCUUUGCUGACUCUGAGAAGGAGGGGGACGAUAUUGAGGAUAUUGAGGAAAGUGCUAAGUCUAAAAGACCUACAUCUUUUGCCGAUGAACUGGCAGCUCGGAUCAAAGGAGAUAUCUCAAACCAGCGGAAAGAGGGACAAACAGAUGGAAAACCUCAGAAGACAGUGAAGGAGAAGAAGGAAAGGAGAACCCCUGCAGAUGAUGAAGAAGACAUCUUGUUCCCACCCCCCACACUGACUGAUGAAGACUUCUCACCCUUUGGCUCUAGAGGUGGUCUCUUCAGUAACGGGCAGGGGCUUUUUGAUGAUGAAGAUGAGAGUGACCUCUUCAAGGAAGCCCCUCGGGCUCGGCCAGCGCAAGCUCCUGUGAGUGAAGAAUUACCUCCGUCCCCUAAACCUGGAAAGAAAAUCCCAGCAGGGGCUGUUUCUGUACUUUUAGGGCAUCCUGAUGUGUCUGGGUCCACCUCUGCCCCAUCACUGAAGGAGCUCCAGAAACAUGGGCAGCCUACUCCGGGGAAGAGCUCACAUUUGCCAACUCCUGCUGGCCUCUUUGAUGAUGAUGAUAACGACAAUGAUGAAGAUGAUAAUAACUUUUUUAUGCCAUCUUCUAGCAAGCCUUCUAAGACCGACAAAGUCAAGUCCACUGCCAUUAUCUUUGAUGAUGACGAAGGAGAUCUGUUUAAAGAAAAAGCAGAAGCUUUGCCGGCAGCUUCUGUGAGCCAGACACAUGAAAGCAAAACGCGGGCAGAUAAAACGAUCGCCUUACCUUCUAGCAAAAAUCUGAAGCUUGUGUCAGAAACAAAGACUCAGAAAGGUUUGUUUUCAGAUGAAGAAGACUCUGAGGAUUUGUUUUCUUCUCAAAGUUCAAGUAAGCCAAAAAGUGCAUCACUUCCAUCCAGCCAGCCCCCAACAUCAGUCUCCCUUUUUGGUGAUGAAGAUGAAGAGGACAGUCUUUUUGGGAGUGCAGCAGCUAAGAAGCAGACUUCAUCUCUACAACCUCAGAGUCAAGAGAAAGCAAAGCCUUCCGAGCAGCCCUCAAAGAAGACAUCUGCCUUGUUGUUCAGCAGUGAUGAGGAGGACCAAUGGAAUAUUGCUGAUUCGCAUACCAAGUUAGCAUCUGACAAUAAGUCCAAAGGAGAGCUGUGGGACUCGGGGGCCACCCAAGGCCAAGAAGCAAAGGCUGUGAAAAAGACCAAUCUAUUUGAAGAUGAUGACGAUGAUGAAGUUGAUCUGUUUGCUAUUGCAAAGGACAGCCAAAAGAAGACUCAGAGAACGUCCCUUCUCUUUGAAGACGAUGCUGAGAGUGGAAGCUCUCUGUUUGGCCUUCCUCCUACAUCUGUUCCUUCUGCAACAACGAAAAAAGAGAGCGUCCCCAAGGUGCCAUUGUUGUUUAGUGAUGAGGAGGACAGUGAGGUACCAUCUGGGGUGAAACCUGAGGAUCUGAAGGUUGAUAAUGCCAGAGUGUCCCCAGAAGUGGGGAGUGCUGAUGUGGCCAGCAUAGCACAGAAGGAAGGACUCUUACCAGCAUCUGAUCAGGAAGCAGGUGGGCCUUCUGAUAUAUUUUCUUCUUCAUCUCCAUUGGACAAAGGAGCCAAGGGUAGAACCAGAACUGUGCUUAGUUUGUUUGAUGAGGAUGAGGACAAAGUAGAGGAUGAAAGCAGCACCUGUGCACCACAGGACGGACGGGAGAAGGGUCUCAAAACUGACAGCCGCCCUAAGAGCACAGGAGUCUUCCAGGAUGAAGAGCUGCUUUUCAGCCACAAGCUGCAGAAGGACAACGACCCAGAUGUUGAUCUUUUUGCUGGCACCAAAAAAAUCAGGUCGUCAGUGCCAAGUGGUGGGAGCCUCUUCGGUGAUGAUGAAGAUGAUGAUCUCUUCAGCUCUGCCAAGACUCAGCCUGUGGUACCAGAAAAAAAAGGAACACUGAAAAAAGACCACCCUGUUUCUUUAAAGAACCAGGACCCUCUUGACUCUACUCAAGGUAGCAAAGAAAAAAGCACAUGGAAAACAGAACCAGCACAGGAUUCUUCAGGUCUGACUCCAUUUAAAAGCAGAGAGCCAUCCAGUCGCAUCGGGAAAAUACAAGUAAUUAUAUUGGAUCUGGAGUCUUCAUUGCCUGCCUGUGGCACCUAUAAAAUUUGUGGAUUUUCAGUUUUUUCAGCUGCUACCAAGCAUUCUCUCAUCUCUUCCCCCGCCAACACCAUACCCUCCACCCUUGCCUAGUUGUUGCUUCUUAUGUGCUGCUCUUUAAUGUCUUUUGAUCCCAGUGAUGGGCACAAGUAUGUGCCCCACUGAGCCUGGAUCAGGCAAAUUUAGCAAUUAACCCAGCAGCUCUGCUGCCUACAGUGGCUCUGCAAAUCCCAGGAACAAAGCCUGUUUCAUCCGAAUUAGCUUUUCCUUCAUCUGAACCUGGAAGGAGCCACAUCCUGGAAAGUGUGCCCACUCUUCCUGGGAGUGUGGAGGCUGGUGUGAGUUUUGAUCUUCCAGCCCAGGCAGACACCUUACACAGUGCAAACAAGAGUCGUGUUAAAGUGAGAGGAAAGCGGAGACCUCAGACCCGUGCUGCUCGACGCCUGGCUGCCCAGGAGUCCAGUGAGGCUGAGGAUGUGACUGUAGAUAGAGGACCUGUUGCUCAGUUGAGCAGUAGUCCUGUCCUACCAAACGGCCAUCAACCUCUUCUGCAGCCCAGGAUGGCCAGUGGACAGACCAGCUCUGAGACAGCCACGGCCCCACCUUGGGAAGGUGGACCUGUUUUAUCUGCAGCCGACAGAAGCUUCUUUGUAAAGUCUCGGCCUCAGACUGGAAACGAGGCUGACCUGUUUGAUUCAGGGGACAUCUUUCCCAAGAGCAGAGGAUCACAGUCCGUGGAGGGAGCAGGCGUCAUGGCCGGGGAGCCCCCGUCCCACUCGUCAGGAGGGCGUAAGGAGAAGAGCCUGGCAUUUCCUGAUCUCAGUGAGGGCAGCAGCACCGAGGAUCUUUUCCAGUCUGUCAAGCCGAGAGCAGCGAAGAACAGAAACCCUUUCCCUCUCCUUGAAGAUGAGGAGGAUCUCUUUGCAGAUCCGAGAGGCAAAAAGAAUGAGAGGAAACCUGACAGCCAUCAAGACAGUGUGUCAAAAACUCAUGACAUCUUUGAGGAUGAUAUAUUUGCUACGGAAGCAAUUAAACCUUUUCCAAAAAAGAGAGAGAAGGGGAGGACUUUGGAGCCCAACUUAUUUGAUGAUAAUAUUGAUAUCUUCGCUGACUUAACUGUAAAACCCAAAGAAAAGUCCAAAAAGAAAGUUGCAGCCAAGUCCAUGUUUGAUGAUGACACAGAUGACAUUUUCUCCUCUGGCCUCCAGGCUAAAGCAUCCAAACCCAAAAGCCAAUCUGCAGAGGCAGCAUCUGAACAAAGAUCUGAGCACAAAGUGGCCAGCAUUUUUGAUGACCCCCUGAAUGCCUUCGGAAGCCAGUAGAGCAUGCGCAGCAUGCGGGGCCUUCACAGUUCACCCUCCCAUUCUGUUUUUCACGUAGUGACGUGCUCUCCUAACGCUGUCUUCACGGGCUUACAAGCAGAUACUCACUCACUUCCUUUACCCAAUGUAGCUGAUAUUUUUCUGCAUUGAUUUUAAUUAUGCUUAAAAUUACAAAUAAAAAAUAAACGCUU